CAGUCGCCGCGGUAAUACGGAGGGUGCAAGCGUUAUCCGGAUUUAUUGGGUUUAAAGGGUCCGUAGGCGGACUUAUAAGUCAGUGGUGAAAGCCUGUCGCUUAACGAUAGAACUGCCAUUGAUACUGUAAGUCUUGAGUAUAUUUGAGGUAGCUGGAAUAAGUAGUGUAGCGGUGAAAUGCAUAGAUAUUACUUAGAACACCAAUUGCGAAGGCAGGUUACCAAGAUAUAACUGACGCUGAGGGACGAAAGCGUGGGUAGCGAACAGGAUUAGAUACCCGAGUAGUCCCUGUCUCUUAUAC
rnacentral:rRNA from 1 species